AGAACGAACGCUGGCGGCGUGGAUAAGACAUGCAAGUCGAGCGCUAUACUCAUGGUAGCAAUACUGUGAGUGUGGAGCGGCGCAAGGGUGCGUAACACAUGGGUAAUUUGCCGUAAAGUUGGGGGAUGACUCGCUGAAAGGCGAGCUAAUACCGAAUGUGGAAGGGGAGUGGCAUCACUUUUUUUUCCAAAGCGUGGGGAUACGUAAGACCCUGGCGUCGUUUUAUGUACUAACGCCCGCGGCCUAUCAGCUAGUUGGUAGAGGUAACGGCUCACCGAGGACCUAAGGACGGGUAGCUGGUCUGGAGACGGACCGACC
rnacentral:rRNA from 1 species